AUUUUAUUCUUUGUGCCACACCAGAGUACAGUAUCAGCUGAGCUGACCUUACUCUGAGGACUAACUCUUUUGCUGGAAGCGGUUCCUGAUUUACAGCUCUUGGUUUCUCCCAGACAUGUUGGUGGGAGAGAUUUUGCUUUUUAAGGGGUUGUUAGAUGGAGUAAAUUUUCUUUUUUUUUUUUUUUUUACUAAAAAGAGGUCACAAAAUUUCAGCAGUUCUCUGAUUUUUAUAUUUUAUUCCUCUUCCUAUCCAAUCCCUGCCUUUUGAGUCCAGGUGGUAAGUACAUUUUCUUUAACGUUUUUCCUGCUUUUCUUCCCAAAUGUGUCUUUUUCUUUGGGCUACUGUACCCUGCUUCCAGUGCUGUCCCCGGCAUAGGUCCAUCUCUGCAGAAGCCAUUUCAGGAGUACCUGGAGGCUCAACGGCAGAAGCUUCACCACAAAAGCGAAAUGGGCACACCACAGGUAAGACUUUAAUCCGGUUUCUUCUCCCCUCUGGGAAGUUUCGGGCUGAAAUUACAUUCACAGCUCUCACUCACAUUUUUAGGCAAAUAAGUGAAGUUGGUUUGCCAGUGUUCCUUGACAGAAGUUGAGCGUCUGUGUAUGCUCUACUGGGAAAUUUGUCUUUGUCUUAGACUAGAAAGUGUAACUUCUGUACAUCUUCUCCUAAAAACAAGGGUAGAGCCAAUGGAAAGUAAUGGUUCUGUUACAUAGAAUGAGUUGUUGCCUUGAUCUUAAAUGAUGUAUUGGUAGAUAUACUUCCCAAGUGGAUUAAAAAGUUAAAACUUACAGCAUAACAAAGUAGUAGACUUACUGAGGUGACUUGAAUAUCUCCUUUUGAUUUUCACUCUAUUUUUCUUUUCACCCAUGGGAAAAUGAUAAUUUUUUAAUAAACCAAGGCUCUUACCAUAGCUGAACUUUAAAACUUAGACUGUCUUUUCUGUAAACGAUUCUGAGGCAAAGGGAAAUGACUAGAAGAGGAUGAGUAAACAAUAACCUGAAAUGGGAAACUCGAGGGAAGCACAGGUUUUUUUUGUUUUGUUUUGUUUGGUUCGUUUUUUGUUUUUUGGGGUUUUUUUGAGACAGAGUUUCGCUCUCGUUGCCCAAGUUGGAGUGCAAUGGCGCGAUCUUGGCUCACUGCAACCUCCGCCUCCCGGGUUCAAGCGAUUCUCCUGCCUCAGCCUCCCAAGUAGCUGCGAUUCCAGGCACGUGCCACCACACCAGCUAAUUUUUUGUAUUUUAAUAGAAACAGGGUUUCACCGUGUUAGCCAGGCUGGUCUCAAACUGACCUCAGAUGAUCCGCCCGCCUUGACCUCCCAAAGUGCUGGGAUUACAGAUGUGAGCCACCGCGCCCGGCCGGAGCACUGUUUUUUUAAUGGCCUUGCACUCUUCUUAUGGACCUUUGCUGCCCUCAGUUGACCAAACAUGACAUCAGAAACAGAUACAUUUGUGUGUUUUAAAAACAGCUCCUAAUACUGGAACAAAAAUGUUUAACUGUCUUGACAAUACUCAUGAGUAUCUGCAUGGCGACUUCAGAGUUGAGUUUAAUCAAAGAGUUUAUUCUUAGGUCCUAGUAGAAGAGCUAACCUCACACUCAUCCCAUUCUAAACUAUGUGAUUCAACACUGAUUUUACAUCCAACAAAGUGAAAUCUUGAUAGUUAGGUGUAAAAAGGAGAGUAAUGGAGAUUUCAGAGUAGCUGGGGUUUCUUACUUUUCAUUUUUAAUUCUUUAGGUUUUGUAAGUUACACACUUCAAGCAUUAUAGAUGAUCCUCUUUUUACUACUGAAGCCUUUUUCAUUGCAUUGUUCUGCAUUUAUUUCUACAGGGAGAAAACUGGUUGUCCUGGAUGUUUGAAAAGUUGGUUGUUGUCAUGGUGUGUUACUUCAUCCUAUCUAUCAUUAACUCCAUGGCACAAAGUUAUGCCAAACGAAUCCAGCAGCGGUUGAACUCAGAGGAGAAAACUAAAUAAGUAGAGAAAGUUUUAAACUGCAGAAAUUGGAGUGGAUGGGUUCUGCCUUAAAUUGGGAGGACUCCAAGCCGGGAAGGAAAAUUCCCUUUUCCAACCUGUAUCAAUUUUUACAACUUUUUUCCUGAAAGCAGUUUAGUCCAUACUUUGCACUGACAUACUUUUUCCUUCUGUGCUAAGGUAAGGUAUCCACCCUCGAUCCAAUCCACCUUGUGGUUUCUUAGGGUGGAAUGUGAUGUUCAGCAGCAAACUUGGAACAGACUGGCCUUCUGUUUGUUACUUUCAAAAGGCCCACAUGAUACAAUUAGAGAAUUCCCACCGCACAAAAAAAGUUCCUAAGUAUGUUAAAUAUGUCAAGCUUUUUAGGCUUGUCACAAAUGAUUGCUUUGUUUUCCUAAGUCAUCAAAAUGUAUAUAAAUUAUCUAGAUUGGAUAACAGUCUUGCAUGUUUAUCAUGUUACAAUUUAAUAUUCCAUCCUGCCCAACCCUUCCUCUUCCAUCCUCAAAAAAGGGCCAUUUUAUGAUGCAUUGCACACCCUCUGGGGAAAUUGAUCUUUAAAUUUUGAGACAGUAUAAGGAAAAUCUGGUUGGUGUCUUACAAGUGAGCUGACACCAUUUUUUAUUCUGUGUAUUUAGAAUGAAGUCUUGAAAAAAACUUUAUAAAGACAUCUUUAAUCAUUCCAAAAUUGUGUCUGUUUUCUUGAGAGUUUUGAUUUUUUACUUUUAGCUUAUACCAGCUGAAUGGCAGCCUUGCCUAAUCCACCUACAACAAGAAUUUCUUAAGCUUUCUUUUAUUUGCAUGAGAGAGCCACUACCAAGGCAUGUUUUGUUAUGCUGAAACUGAGCUGCUGCAUACUGCUAAAUGGCACCUCUGGGAUUGGCCUACCUGGGGAUUUCUUGGUUUGUGAAAACAGGAGAGGAGAGCUAUCUCAUACAAGUGAAAGGAUACUGGAGAGAGAAAUUACCCAUUUCUAAAAAAAAACCACACUCUGUCGUAUCUGUGUUAAUGUUUUCUAGCAUGUAAUCUAGUUUCAACAGACACAAAUUUAUAUGUAACCUAGUUUUCUUGCCGUUCUGUGUUUUAUUCUUAAUGUGAUUUUUUUCCAUUGGGAUGUUUUUGAUUGAACUUGUUCAUUUUGUUUUGCUUGGGAGGAAAAUAAACAAUUUUACUUUUUUCCUUUAGGAGCAUUAUGAGCAUUAUGUCAGAAUAGAAUAGAAUUGGGGUUCGAUCUUAACAGGCCAGAAAUGCCUGGGUUUUUUUGGUUUGUUUUUGUUUUUGUUUUUUUAUCAAAUCCUGCCUGACUGUCUGCUUGUUUUGCCUACCAUCGUGACAUCUCCAUGGCUGUACCACCUUGUCGGGUAGCUUAUCAGACUGAUGUUGACUGUUGAAUCUCAUGGCAACACCAGUCGAUGGGCUGUCUGACAUUUUGGUAUCUUUCAUCUGACCAUCCAUAUCCAAUGUUCUCAUUUAAACAUUACCCAGCAUCAUUGUUUAUAAUCAGAAACUCUGGUCCUUCUGUCUGGUGGCACUUAGAGUCUUUUGUGCCAUAAUGCAGCAGUAUGGAGGGAGGAUUUUAUGGAGAAAUGGGGAUAGUCUUCAUGACCACAAAUAAAUAAAGGAAAACUAAGCUGCAUUGUGGGUUUUGAAAAGGUUAUUAUACUUCUUAACAAUUCUUUUUUUCAGGGACUUUUCUAGCUGUAUGACUGUUACUUGACCUUCUUUGAAAAGCAUUCCCAAAAUGCUCUAUUUUAGAUAGAUUAACAUUAACCAACAUAAUUUUUUUUAGAUCGAGUCAGCAUAAAUUUCUAAGUCAGCCUCUAGUCGUGGUUCAUCUCUUUCACCUGCAUUUUAUUUGGUGUUUGUCUGAAGAAAGGAAAGAGGAAAGCAAAUAUGAAUUGUACUAUUUGUACCAAAUCUUUGGGAUUCAUUGGCAAAUAAUUUCAGUGUCGUGUAUUAUUAAAUAGAAAAAAAAAAACUUUGUUUCCUAGGUUGAAGGUCUAAUUGAUACGUUUGACUUAUGAUGACCAUUUAUGCACUUUCAAAUGAAUUUGCUUUCAAAAUAAAUGAAGAGCAGCUGUCCUUCUUUCCUCUUUUAAGUGUUCAGCUGUGGCAUGCUCAGAGGUUCCUGCUGGAUUCCAGCUGGAGCGGUGUGAUACCCUUCUUUUUCAGCUGUUCGUGCCUUCCUUUCUUGUAUCCACCAAAGUGGAGACAAAUACAUGAUCUCAAAGAUACACAGUACCUACUUAAUUCCAGCUGAUGGGAGACCAAAGAAUUUGCAAGUGGAUGGUUUGGUAUCACUGUAAAUAAAAAGAGGGCCUGGGAAUUCUUGCGAUUCCAUCUCUA
rnacentral:sRNA from 1 species